AAACAGAAAUUGUUGUUCAUCUAUUAUCAGCUUAUGAAACGAAAGAAGCUUUUCGCACAACCUAAUACUUUAAAAUGAUUUAUAUUUAAUUAUAAAAUAAACUUCAUCUGUAUUUACAAUUAAACAAAUGAAGUUAUAGAGAAGAAAUCUGAUUAAUAUCAAAUGAAAUUUAAUAAUAUCAAAUGAUUAAUAUUAAUAUUCGAAGAACCUUUGUUACUGCAAAAAGAAACUGAUAUUAUCAAUGGAAGUAUGUAUGUACUUAUAAUGUAGAGAUAAAAUCAUUUUACUUAUAUAAUUAACACUUUUAUCUUAAUGCUUAUCCUUUUUUACAUUUUACUAGUUUACCGGAAAUGACCAAUCAGAUUUGUAUUUCAUCAUAUACAUAAUGAAGUGAUAAUUAUAGUACAAUCGAGUAGGAGAUGAUUUUCUAUGUGAAAAUAUAAGUCGAAAAUGUAGAAUAACAUUUUUCCUUAUGACGCUUUGUUUUAGAAAAAAUCAAGUUUGAAAAUUUAUUGAAAAUUAAUUUGAUUAAAUAUCAACUAGGUAAGAGAAAACAAUCAAAGGAAGUUAUUAUACAUGUGAAAAUAAGUAGAAAAUAUAAAAUAAAAUUUUCCUAUUUAAGACUUCGUUUUCCAGAAAAUGGAAUUUAAAAGUUUUUAAUUAUGAACUGAUCUUAUAUACGUAUGAUACAUAUUCAAAUUUAUUUUCCUCGAAAACGAAGCCUCAAAUGAAAAAAUGUUGUGUUUUCUUAUUUUUUGAUGGAGAAUGGUCUUCUGGCUAAUUGUACUACGAUUAUCUUCUUACCCUAAAGGAAAGGUAUAUACAUCUAUGAUGACAUAAGUGAGAAACGUUAAAACCAGAAUGUGGAAUCAUGUAAGAUCUCAAUGAGAUGAGACGAACUCAAAGAGAUGACAUAGGACAUGGACAGGAUUUCGACUGUCGAAUAGUAUGUAACAGUUAAUGAUCAUAUCGAUUAUAAACCUACCGUUAUACUGGUAUAUAACCAUGAUAGCCUGGUAUGUAACCAUUUUUAAUAAUAUUUUAAACGAUUUAUAUAUUUUUAUAUGACAUUUUUUGUUUGGUUAUGCUCAUAGAAUACAUAUACGAAAUAUGAGGCACGUAUAGUGUGAUAACUGGAUAUUAUCGAAAAUAUCAGUAACACAAAAUCGUGUUGUUAAGACAACUUGAAGUAUUGUAGGGAGCACAUUUUUUCGUAUAAUUAAAUUCAAAAUUUCGUAGAAUCAAGGUUGUCACCUUUCUUUUAUAUAGAACUAUAUAUAUUUUGAUAUACGUCGGUGUAGUCCACAUUAAAAUCAAUUCAACGAUUAUAAUCAUUCGAGGACAGAAUCACUUUUAUAGAAAUGUUUGGAAUCUUGAACUGUAAUAAUCAUUCGUGAAUUGGUGUUUUGCUUAUAAUCUUUUGUUAAAACUAUAUUUAAUAUUAGAUAUUAAAUUUUGUAUGAUCAUUUUUAUUUGUAUAUUGUGACAUCUAUAUAGUAGAGGAAGUAUAGAGUAUGGAAAUCUCCCACUCUUAAUUAAAGCCUAUAAAAUACAAAUGAUAAGAAAACGAAAUUCGCAAACAGGAACAAAACAAAACGGUAAGAACUUUCUUAAUUAGAACGAUAAUUAUAACAACAGAAAGGAAAUAAACCAAUUUAAAUUGAAUUUUAUUGUUAAACUUUCAGUCACAUUUGUUUAACUCGUGAGUGAACCUCUUCAACCAAAUUUGAUUCACGUUAAUAUUGCGUUUCUGUUGAUAGAGCAAAAGGUUGCCAGUAAAACUGACAAAAAUAGAUAAUUUACAAUACGCAACAUUUGAAUCCCGAUUUUUGUGCAAUUAUUGAAUGUUUUCGACUAUUCGGCUUGACUUUGUUUUCGAACGUGACAAGAAAGAACACAAAGAAUGAGAAGAAUGAAUACGAGAGGCUGGCUGUCGAGUAGCAU